UGAGAUCCAAAGACGGAAAAAGUAAUUUUAUUUAGACUAUUUACAGAGAAGGUUUUGUAGUUGAGAGAAACCAAUAGUGAAUAAAAUGAAAGACAUUCUUGAGGAUGACAGGAAAACUGUCACGUUAAAGGCGUUAACGAAGAGGGAAUAAAUUAUUUUAUUCCAAAUAAAGGUGGUACCACGUUACGUCACACUAAAUAUAAACUUACACGUCCUUAUU
rnacentral:ncRNA from 1 species